rnacentral:rRNA from 1 species
GUAAUCACUUGUCCUCUAAAUAGGGACCAGUAUGAACGGCUAAAUGAGGGCCUAACUGUCUCCUCUGGCCAAUCAAUGAAACUGAUCUUCCAGUAAAAAAGCUGGAAUAAACCCACAAGACGAGAAGACCCUGUGGAGCUUUAAAUUAAUAUAUUAUCACCCAACCCCUCACUCCAAUACGGCCUAACAAUGAGAUAAAUAAUAUAAACUUUAAGUUGGGGCAACUGCGGAAUAAAAAGACCUUCCAUGCAACAGGGCUCACCACCCAUUAAAGGAUUACAGACCAAAAAUAUUAUACAAAACGACCCAGUACUACUGACCACCGAACCAAGUUACCCCAGGGAUAACAGCGCCAUCCUCUUCUAGAGUUCCCAUCGCCAAGAGGGUUUACGACCUCGAUGUUGGAUCAGGGCCCCCAGACGGUGCAGCCGCUGUCAACGGUUCGUUUGUUCAACGAUUAAUGCCCUACGUGAUC